UACGUAGGGGGCAAGCGUUGUCCGGAAUCAUUGGGCGUAAAGGGCGCGUAGGUGGCUCUGUGUGUCUACCGUGAAAGCGUACGGCUCAACCGUAUUUUGUCGGUAGAAACUGCAGGACUUGAGGCUGGGAGGGGCUGGUGGAAUUCCCUGUGUAGCGGUGAAAUUCGUAGAUAUUGGGAAGAACACCGGUGGCGAAGGCGGCGACCUGGUCCUUGACUGACGCUGAGGCGCGAAAGCGUGGGGAGCAAACAGG
rnacentral:rRNA from 1 species